AACGAACGCUGGCGGCAUGCCUAACACAUGCAAGUCGAACGAAACGUCCGGGUGUAGUCGCGCACGGGUGCGUAACGGGUGGGAACCUGCACUUAGGUUCGGAAUAACUCUCCGAAUGGGGUGCUAAUACCGGAUAAUGUCUACGGACCAAAGAUUUAUCGCCUUUGGAUGGGCCAGCGUUGGAUUAGGUUGUUGGGAGGGUUAAAGAUUACCAAGGCGAGGAUGCAUAGCUGGGCGGAGAGGAUGAUCAGCCACACUGGGACUAGGACACAGCCCAGACUCCUACGGAAGGGAGGAGUGGGGAAUAUAGGACAACGGACGAAGGCCUGAACCAGCAAUGCCGGGUAAGUGAUGAAGGCCUUAGGGUUGUAAAGCUCUUUUACCCGGGAAGAUAAUGACGGUACCGGGAGAAUAAGCUCCGGCUAACUCCGUG
rnacentral:rRNA from 1 species